GAUACCCUGCCACAUCUCCCCUUGACUCACUUUUGCAGGUGCAGGAACCAGCAUCUUCUAAGCCAUGCUAACAACUUCCCACUCAAGCUCUUGCCUCAUCCUGCUUCUCUGGCUGAGGAUUUUCUCCAGAACCACAAGAGUUUGUUCACCUAAGAAAUGUUUGCCUUUGUAAACUGGAGCUACCAUGUAAAAAGAUCAACUACCCUAAGGCCACCAUGCUGUAAAAAAACCAAGGCACAUGAAAAGCAAGGACUGGUUGCUUUAGUAGGAUACUCAUACUGGUAAUGAAUGAACAUUGCUAUCUUUCUCUUGUGAAUGGACACUGCUUUAGCAAGAGCCUUCUGCUAAAUGCCAAAGGCUGUUGUUUAUGAAUACAUUCUAUUCAUCAUUCACUACCUGGUCGUAGAGAUAUGUUAACUUUCCUCCUUUCUGUUACAAUAUCGUCUACAGGGACCUUGAUCAUCUUCACAUUCUGUACAUCACAGUGUCCCAUCGUAUUAAUGAGAGCAUGAUAAUUGGACUUAACUUUUAGGAAGGAGCAAGUAUGCUGGUUGCUGGGGUAAAAUACUUCAUUCCAGAGGUUGGGAGAUAAACCCUAUCCAUUUCUGAAGCCUGCCACAUCAGGGAAGGCUUUAGGGGCCCAAAGGUCUAGGACAUCUCAUCUAAAAGGAUGCACUGCAUCUAUUACCACCAAGAAAGAGGCACAGCACUUGGUGAGCUACUUUGGAUUUUUGAGGCAAAAACUACUACCCUUGCAAAUACCACUCUGGAAUGCUUAUUAGAAGAUUGCUGGUUUUGAAAGGACCUGAGAGAGUAUUUAAAUAGCCUCUUAAAGAUUCAGCAUAGCCAUCAGCCUAGGGAUGACACCUCACAUGAUUGGGACACUGUUCUCAGGGAUGUGGCAUAUAUGUUAAAACAAUGAUCUCUAUAUGUAGUCAUUAUGUGUGCCAUGUUUCCAAUAUCUACAAUACACAGGAAUGGUGGCUAAAGGAUCCAAGUAGGGAUGGCUCCAUGCACUGAACUCCCAGUGACCCAUUAGUGAACAUUUGUGGUUCUAAUCCUCGUAAAUUUAGGCUCUUCCUGAUCAAAGACCUUGAUCUCAGGAAAUGUGUGUAGAGAGGGGGACACUUCCAAUAAGGAUAUAGUCAUGGUUUCACUGCAUUUAAAUCAUUGACUGCCACUGGAUGACCUUGGGAUCCUCAUGUUGAUAGAUCAACAGGCAAAAUAAGAAUUACUAAACUAGUGGGGAUACUUGACUAUGAAUAUAUUGAGGAGUUGGAGUUGCUGCUAUACAAGGGGGGCAGGGAGGAAGAUGUCUGGGACUUGGGGGAUUCACUGUGGUACCACUUAGUGCUUUUAUGCCCGGUGAUAACAGUAGAAGGGCAAUUGAGGCAACCAGAGCCUGAGAGUAGCAAGGAAGCCAGGCCUCAAUUACUUAGAAAUAAAGGUCUGGUCAUCCCACUGAGUAAGCAACUGAGACUAGUCACUGCUAGCUAGGGGUAAGGGAAAUCUAGAAGAGGUGGAAGAGGAGAGAGAUGAUGGGUAUUGCACAUGGCCCUGGGACCAGGUACAGCAGUGAAUACUGUGCAAUGUCCCACUACUUCUGUUAUUUUCAGUCUUUUCUUUUUUUGGAGAUUGUAGAGAGGCAUAACCUUGAAAGUCAGUAACACUGUAAACUUGAGGUAGGUAUAAAAGGACCUAAUCAGAGCAAGGAGUGUGAAUGUGGUGAUCACCAUUACCAUGCAGCUCAUGUCCCUGGUCCACCUCUUUGUCCCCCUGCAGCAGUAGCAAACAUUUCCAUGCACUGGACAGCCUUCUCCCUGGAGUGUCAUAACUCUCUGCUUCUCUGCCUGAGGCUCCUCUCAGCCCACACUUAGGAUAGCCUGGAAGUAGCGGGAUUAAUGCCUUCAAAGACAAACGCUAACCACUGAGGUUUCAGAGUCAGGAGACAAAUGCUCCAACUCCUCCACUCUUCCACGUUGAUUACUUCUGAGACAUUCUACACAGUUUCUCAGAUGACCUCCAGUGGAGGUGAGUCCCAGUUGCCCAAAGUGGUAGCUUGUUCAUUAAUGCACGCAUUUUUUACUUUUCUCUUUUCCUUCUCUUCUUCUGCCCACUCCAUCCCACGAGCCCCUGAGAUCGUCAAACCAUAUGCAGCCCAGUCCUUAUCUCAAGGUCUGCUCUUUGGGAAGCCUAAAUGAAGAUGUCAUCGAUUUUUAAGGAAUAUAUGCUCCCUUACUGGGAUUUUUCCCACCUGCUGGGAAACUCAGCUCAACCCCCAGCUCAGAUACUGCCUACCUGUGAUCCACUGCUGGCCUGGCCACAGAUUCCAGAAGCAGUGACAGAGAAAAGCAGAGGAGUGUCACGGUGAUGUAAUAUGAGAAAGACUUGGUCAGCCACCACUGACUCUGACAAUGGAAGGUACCCAGGAGCCAAGGAAAGCAGGCAGCCUCUAGGAACUGGAAAAGGCAAAGAAACUCAUUUUCCCCUGGAAUCUCCAAAAAGGAACUCAGCCCUGCAGAAGCUUGAUGAUAACCCAUGACGGGAGAAUGGAAUGAGAUGGUCAGCACUUGACAUCUACAGGGAAAUGUCCCUCUAAAGAACUUGAUAUCAGCAACGAAGGAAAAUGAGAUUGUCCUCCAUGAGCUAAACAACAAAAUCGGUAUAUAUUGUAUGGAGCAGAGAUGUGCAAAGUCAUCAUGAUGAACAUAGUAAUCUGAUUGAAGGUAUUAACAGAUCUAAAGGACUAGUGGUCAAUCUGAA